UUUUACGCGAAGUUCUCGUUUUAUACAGACAGAAAAAAACCAGCCAACAGGUCACACCCUCCUCCGUAUGAAUAAUGUAAAUGGAGAGCCCCGAUAUGAGGGACCGCUAUAUCCACUCUCGGGGGGCAGCCCGCUGAAAACAUUCAAUUCUUUGAAUCUUUUAAUGUAUUUUACUGAGCUCUUUUCAUCUGGUGCGCUUCCAGCUCCAAAUCUGCUCCGUCCAUGUGGUUCCCCUGUAAAAGGAAAAGCCAAGUUAUGUCAGCAGGUUGAAGCUGUUGGCUUUUUUAUAUACUGUUUACCAGUAUAAAUCACUUUCAUUUUCAUUUUGCAGGUAAGACUACAAACUGCACCAAGGACAGUUCUCAUGUGGUCACUGCUCCCAAAACUCCGGGUUUGGGAAUUUGAGGGUUCUGCUCCACUGGUCGCAUCUCCUGCUGGCAUCAAUCCUAUGUUGCUCCAAAUGCUUGAUUUGGUUCUUCCUGAGACGACCACAAAGGGGAUUUAUGUUCAUGGCUGGAAUGACCCACCAACUAUUCACUUGCUAAGUAAAUGUAUUAACCACUACACUAUUGAGGCUCACUACUGCACUUCUACUGUUCUAUUGUAAUUCAUUAUUGUCCAGCUGCCCUAAAACCUCCCUGAAAACCUUUCAGUUGGACCAGGAUGCUGCACUGUGUACUAGCAGGGGACUUAACAGAGAGAUUUCGCCCAUAUUAGCUUCUCUUCAAGGAUUCACUGUUAAAUUCAGAGUUGAAUUUAAAUCCUUCUCCUCAUAUACAAGGUCUUGAAUAAUCAGGCUCAAUUGUAUCUUAAAAACCUCAUAGUAUCUUAUUAUCCCAACCAGGGGUGUAUCAAGAGAAAUUCUCCUAGAGUGGCAAAUGGAAAGCUAUUUCUAUACACAUGUGCAGGUGUUACAUUCUCUAAUAUGUACCAUAUAUGGUUAAAAUGCAUUAAGUGUGCACGUUUCAUAUGAACAUAGUCUGUAGGGUUCUGUUUGGCAUUAGCAUUAGCAUUGGCAUUGGGAUUAAAUUUACACAAAAAAACUCAGGGGCUGCUGUGGGCUGAACCAUUUUACAAUGAUCCAAACAGAGCACUUUGUUCUCAGACUGCUGGCAUACUUGUGGCUCCUAGGAUAUUAAAGUAAAAUGGGAGGAAGAACCUCCAGCUUUCUGGUCCCUCUUUUAUGGAACCUGCUCCCAAUUUGGAUUCAGGACUCUACUUUUAAGAUUAGGCUUUUUUGAGGCUUGUAGGUGACCCUGAACCCCUAGCUAUGCUGCUAUUGACCUAGGCUGCUUGGGUACUUUUGAUUAUGCACUGUUACUUCUUCGCUCAUCUCUUUUCACUCUCUGUGUGCUUAUACAACACUGAUGUACUUAAUCAUUAACAAUUAUUAAACUCUGGCUGUCUCUCCUGUUGUUUUGCUUUUAUCCUGUCUCUCUCUGCUUUCUGCUCUUUCAGCAGAUGGCUGCCCCUCUCUGAGCAUGGUUUUGUUCUGCCUGAGGUUUCUUCCUUUUAAAAGGGAGUUUUUUUCCUUUCCCCUGUCGCCAAGUGCUUCUCAUAGGGGGUUGUCUGUUGUCUCAUUGUUUGGGUUUCUUUCUAAGAGUGUAGUGUCUUUAUCUUACCUUAUAAAGUACGUUGAGGCAACUAUUGUUGUGAAUCGGCGCUAUG
rnacentral:lncRNA from 1 species